ensembl:rRNA 5S_rRNA 5S ribosomal RNA
UGCCACAGCCAUAUCACCCUGUAGCCCAAGACUGGUUGCCCACUGAGGCUAAGCAGGGUUGAGCCUGGUCAGUACCUGGAUGGGAGACCUGGGAAAACUAGGUUACUUCUGGAAG